GUGCUCGCUUUGCCAGCACAUAUAUUAAAAACUUGGAACCAUACAGAGAAGAUUAGGAUGUGGCCCCUGUGCAAGGAUGAUACGCAAAUUUGCGAAACAUUACAUAAAAAA
ensembl:snRNA U6 U6 spliceosomal RNA